rnacentral:rRNA from 2 species
ACGGGAGGCAGCAGUGGGGAAUAUUGCACAAUGGGGGAAACCCUGAUGCAGCGACGCCGCGUGAGUGAUGAAGUAUUUCGGUAUGUAAAGCUCUAUCAGCAGGGAAGAAAAUGACGGUACCUGACUAAGAAGCACCGGCUAAAUACGUGCCAGCAGCCGCGGUAAUACGUAUGGUGCAAGCGUUAUCCGGAUUUACUGGGUGUAAAGGGAGCGUAGGCGGCAUGGCAAGCCAGAUGUGAAAGCCCGGGGCCCAACCCCGGAACUGCAUUUGGAACUGUCAGGCUAGAGUACCGGAGAGGUAAGCGGAAUUCCUAGUGUAGCGGUGAAAUGCGUAGAUAUUAGGAGGAACACCAGUGGCGAAGGCGGCUUACUGGACGGUAACUGACGCUGAGGCUCGAAAGCGUGGGGAGCAAACAGGAUUAGAUACCCUGGUA